ACCAACCAAUCCCCUCCCGUAAGCCAGCCCCAAUCCCAGUCCUCCUCUCGUCCCCAAUCCCCGCGUCCCCUCUUUCUCCCCCAAUCUGGUGCCUCCUCCACAAUCUGCCCCUACUGCCCAAUCCACCGCCUCCUGCCCAAUCCGCCGCCUCCUACCACAACCCCGUGCUUGCUCGUUGGUUAGGACGACCGGAGGAGGCACAUGCACCAGAUCCGUUGGGAUUGAAGGUGGUUCUUCCAGGGAGGAGAAAAUAUGAAGAUUUGAAGAGAAGGCGGCGCGGGGGAGACCGGCAGCGGUGGCCAGUGCCCGUCGACGAGCGCCUCCACGGGAGGUGGCGUGAGAGACCGGCUGUGUGACCACGGCCGACGAGCUUGACGAGAUGGCGGGCUAGGGUUAGCCGUUGCGAGCGCGCCGGCGAGUCCGCCAUGAGCGGAUCCCUGCUUCCUCGCCGCUCUCCUCUGUUGGUGAGGGAAUGGAGAAGGGGGUGCGAGUGGACCCGGAGAAGCCAUGUGAAGCCGGUCUGGUUCGUCGGCGAGGAAGAUCAACUGGGAAGAAAAGGUGAAACUGGUGAGGAAAAGAAGCAGCACACCAGCAAAAGAAUGGUUGUGCAACAAGUCAGUAUUAGAUGAUCCUACACCCGGUUGGUCUUGAUUUUUGGUGGAUUAGUUCAUGUGUAAUAGCGCAUAGGUUGCAAGGUAUUCUUUGUUGUGUGUCCGUUGAUUGCAAUUGUAUGGAGCUGGCUCUGGUGGCGGCGCUGCGUGGAGGAGGGGCUUGGGGCGGUGCUAGCCAAGAGGAGGAUCUGCAGCCAUGGGAGAUUCAUGUGGUUGUAUGGAGCAUUGAGGACUUUUGGAGAGUGGCCAGUAGGAUGAGCUGGACCUUUUUUUCAGAGAAAAGGUGAAGUGGUGAACGGGGCUACAGCGAGCAGGGCCGGAACGGAUGGUCGUCUCUCCCUGGUGCUCAAAUGUUUGGAUACGGGAUUGAAACAAAAUCGACUGCCGGCGCAGGUUGAACGAGGCCAUGCUCGUUGAGCAACAACGGCUGGUUUUAAGGGUGUUUGUGUAGGCUGAGCAGAUCGAGUUGUAUAAUGCACAUACCACAACUAUUGUUGUUGUGGUGACUCAGACAGGACCAUUUCAGGCUUCAGUUAGCUGAAAGGGAAUACAUCGAGCAAUGUUGGACCAUGUAGUUGUGCUUAUCAUGGUCAAUGAGGUGCCUGAGCAAAAUUAGUAAUACAGCAUGUGGUUGAGCCAAAUAAGUAAUACAACAGCUAGAUGAGUGGCGUAUACUAGAUUGUUGCAGUAGGUAUUGACCGAGGUGCGUGGAAUUUUAUGGAAUGAAUUCUUAGGCAUCAGCAAAAGGACUUGUGCAAUGGUGAUGCCAAUGAUGCACAAUGAGGAGAUGGUUGGGCCUUGUAGUGUGCUUACGGCAGCAGCUCUCUUGGCAGUGCGGUGUUCUCGGCUGGAGAAGGGCGACCUUGCCAGCAAACUCGCCAUCUCUUUCCCUAGGAGCUAAUGAUAUACAUUUCAUUCCAAAAACUUAGAGGGCUGAUUCAGUUCCAAACAUGCAGUCAAUAAUUACUGCUUCAGAUGGGGGCAAUGGUGGCUCAUGAAGAUCUGGGUGCUGAACUUCCGGUUGAGGAAGUACCUUCACUACAGGUUUUGCGAUGUUCGUGUAUGGCAUAUUGGCCUUCUCAGGAGUUGCUUUCUGGAUAUGCUCGCUGCUCUAUGGAUCUAUUAUUUCAAGAAAUGAUGAUAUACGGGUGUUGUCAAGAAUAUCGUCCCAGCCAUGCUGCUGCUUGUGCAUUGGAAGCUUUGAAGCUCGUCUUUGGCUGCAGCAGAAGUGUGUCAAAUUAUAUCAUUGGUAUAGUCGGCUUGUUUUAGCUAUGGCCAUUUUUGUGUGUACCAGUUGCCUCUGGGAGCCGCAUACAGUCUGUUCGGGUGUAUUUACCUGCAGUAUGUAUGGCAGUUGCAGCAGCUUGCUAAUUAGUACCCACCAAAGGUCCAUCUUCCUGGUGAGAUUUGUCAAGUAUAAUCAUGCAUAACAUGUGUUUUGCGGCGAUUCCUGCUGUUGAAGGUGAACGCGUGCAAGUACAACCAAUUCAGAAUUGCCACAUGUAUGUUCAGUUUUGUAAUGAUGAAUUCCCCUCCCUCAACCUGAGGCCUAUAACGCCUAAAUGGGAUUUAAGUUCCCACUCAUUACGUUAAUCCAUGAAUGGCAGGCAUAUAUUUCUCGAACGAAUUCCCUACGAAAGACAUUUACAUCUGUCAAGGGCAUAUACUCCAAGGCUAAAGUUCAAGGGCAAAAGAUCACCUGGCUAAUUCCACAUGCUCUUCAACAAGUUUUAACUGAUCACGUUGACUUCAAUGUGAUGCUCACAUUCUUGGAAUUCUAUGAGCUAUACAUACUUUGUGUUAUCUGUGUUGUCGUGCUUACUAUGGAGCUUUUGAGAACCCUAUGAUGGCAUUCAAAUGCAGAGUUAUGACCAUGGCAACUUCUCAAGCUCGGUCUAGAAUCUUUAUCAAAGAAGAGUUAGAAGAGGAGCGAGAGGAGGUGGCAUGUGGGACCAGAACUUCACAGCUUCUAUGCGAUAAAGGUGCGCAAAUUGAUGUUGGUAUUUAGAUUGUGGUAAUCUAGCUGCGAUUCUACUGGGAGAAUUGGGAUACUAUUUUUAGGCACAUUAUCAUUAGUGAUUUGGUUUUAUCAGGAGUAGUACGUGUUGACCACACCACAACGCAACAAUGACAAAGUUGAUAUGGAGCUGCAUGCUAGCGGCGUUGUUCACUUUGUACUUACUAUAUAAGAGUUUUCUUUGAAUUAAUUUAGCUUAUGUAUUAACCUGUUGGCUAAAUGAGUGGACAUCAGUAGCUUGAAUGCCUUUGCUUUUGAAUUUUUAGUCACUUGCAAAACACUCAGCACCUUACAAACAGUUCAGAUAGUUUUGGAGAAAAGAAACAGACCCAGCAAUGGAACACUAACCCUUUCCCUGAAUGGAAUCACACCUUAUGUUUUUUUUUGUAAUAUUUGAGAGUAGCACUUGGAGUCAAUCAGAACAUGUAUAACCACAAGCCGUACAUUAGUUAUGCAUACAUGUGCCCAAAAUAUAUUUUCAGCAUGCGUUUAUGUGUAGUGUGUGUGUCUCCACACCAAGAUUAUAGAAUCUCGCAUUGCUUUCGAGUUUCCACCCUGGAGAUUUAUCUCCUUUGAUCCAACUGGUUUUGAUCAUAGCCAACUACUAAAAAUAAAUAAUUCUUUAUGUUGAUGAAGCCAUUGAAAAUAUUGGCGACACCUUUCAGUUAAACAACCUUUCAACUGAAUAUAUCAAGGCAACAUGAGCAUUUGAUAAGAGAUUUUUAUUGUGUUUCUUACAACUUUUUUCUAUGACUAUUUAAUGGUACCUAUUAUAUUGGGCAACCUCAUUUGAUGUGUUUCAGGCAUGUUUUCCAAAAUAAGAAUACAUGACAUUUAAUUUUGCUUUGUUCUGUUGGUACACGGAGCUUGAGCACAGGCAUAUGACUCCACUUGUGGACUGGUUGCUACAAUUCAAAUACUUAGGUUUGUGAUUUCUUAAGUAGUUUUUUUUGUAUUUGUUUUAUAGGAUUAAUAUCAGAGGAACCAGCGGUAAUGAUGUAUAGUGAUCUUGGUGCGCAUUUGUUCUUUGGUUCUUAGUGAUGAUCCUGGUAUAUUCUUAUUGAAGGAAAUGACACUUAUUACAUACU